GCGCUCCCGCGAGUGCAGCUGUCACCGGGGCAGCGAAGCGCGCUCCGAGCUCUGCGUCUGUCUCUCAGAGAGCGCGCGCGCGCGUGUGAGAGAGAGAGAGAGAGAGAGAGAGAGAGAGAGUUUUUGUAUUUGAACAUCAUGCUUCUGCAGUUCCGUGCCGUUUUGAGGAAACGUGCGUGCAGAAUCGCUGCUUUUUAGGUGCCUUUCUCAUAUCAGGAAGAAAGAGAGAGAGUCAGUGCAAGAAGCCUCCGGAGACACACACCCACCCCCCACGCAAACACACACACACACACACACACACACACACACACACACUGCGCUUUCACUCGCGCAGAAGCCGAGGAGCGAGAGACACGCACUGCUGUGUGGUUUGGAGUGCAAACACUCAUCUGAACGCACGAGUCGUGGAUUAUUACGCUAAGAACGCUUGGAAACCAUGAGCUGGGGAACCGAGCUAUGGGACUACACCACUGGUUGACACCAGUGACAUAUGACAAACUGUGUGAAGAAUUGUACAUAAGAAGUUUGGGAAUAGAAUAAUGCCCAACAAACUGCAGUUUGAUAAUCAGAAAAACAAGAAGAAGAAUAUGAAGAAUAAACAAAAAGAGGCAGAAUCCAAAAGAUCAAGAGAUCCGAACACAGUGAAAGCUGUUAGAUGGAGCAGCAUGGAGGCUCUGAAACCAGACCUGUCUGGUGAUCAAGCUGUAGAGUGUCAUUCUGAUGUAUCAGAGAAGGUCCAGACUGAGGUGAGUUUACAUUACUCACAGUUAGAAUACACUGAAUGAUCACGAUAUUCAAGAAUGUAUUUUAGUGAUGACUAAUAUUUGUGAAUGAAAAUGAAUGCUGUUUCAGAGAACACCAGGACCUUAAACUCCAGAAUGUGAUUGGGGUUCAUUCAUCAACCUGCACAACUUUCCUCAGUUGUCUAGGAUCUUCAGACCAUCCUCCAUGGCUGCACAUUUGGAGCUGCACAUAUUGAACAGCAGUAAUGUUAAUGAUGACUGAUCAGGAGAUAUUUCAUGAAGUGUUUUGAAUUACACUUGCAUUGUAGCCACGUUAUUUUUUCAGACCCCACGUUGGGAACCGUUGUCGUCAAACCUUUAAGUCUUUUAACUGUUGUUUAAUUGACUUCUUGAUGUUACUGAAUUUGUUUAAAAAAUGUUUUGCUCUGCUUCAUAUUUAUUUGUAUCGGUUAUCUAUUUUUACGUCAUUGUUUUAUAUUAUAAUUGCCAAUCUUUUCCACUGACUACAUAAUUUUGCAAAAAGGUUUCAAAAAUAUAAGUAGGCCUAUUGGUUUAUGAAAAAGGUGUCAAAAGUUUUAAUUACCAAGAUUAUUUGUGGUAUUUUUUUUUAAGUCUUAAAGAGACAUUGUCUCACCCAAAACUAUUAUUAUAGUAUUAAUGCCUGGUGUGAAAACAAAAAGUGGUCUGAAAUGGCUUCCUAGAGUUGAAGAUUGUAUUUAUGUUGCCACCAGCAUCAAAAGAAAUUGAAUGUAUGUACGCAUGAAUUCAAUUUCUUGAGUAUGAAGUUUAAACAUGUUCUCUGCGCAUUAUACUAAAUAAUAUUUUUUUCUGUUUAAUAUUACAGUGUUCUGGACUUUAUACUGACAUUCAUCAAUGUAGAGUCAUGCACAAGCAAAUACAUCUUAAUAGCAGGCUUCUUUGUUUCCUGUGUGAUUGAUGGUCAUGUGAUCUCUAUGGUGGCUGUUAUUUGUGGAAUAAAACUGCUUUUGCUACACCCCUGGUUGAGUCU
ensembl:lncRNA